rnacentral:rRNA from 1 species
UACGUAGGGUGCAAGCGUUAAUCGGAAUUACUGGGCGUAAAGCGUGCGCAGGCGGUGAUGUAAGACAGGUGUGAAAUCCCCGGGCUUAACCUGGGAACUGCAUUUGUGACUGCAUCGCUGGAGUGCGGCAGAGGGGGAUGGAGUUCCGCGUGUAGCAGUGAAAUGCGUAGAUAUGCGGAGGAACACCGAUGGCGAAGGCAAUCCCCUGGGCCUGCACUGACGCUCAUGCACGAAAGCGUGGGGAGCAACAGG